rnacentral:misc_RNA from 1 species
AAAGUGCGAUAUGUAGUGCGAUUUGCAUGAAUCUGUGAGUCAUCUAAUCUUUGAACGCAACUUGCGCCUCUAUGAGGCAUGUCUGUUUGAGUGCCAUAUUCACCAUGAAUAAUAUUCGAUUUGACUACAACAUUCCUGUUCUAGUCUAAAUGCAGCCAGUUUUCACUUUUAUUAUAGGUGGGCCCAAGUGCUAGGCAUUCUUGGCUUACUUACUAUAUAAAAGUUUUACACUUGGCCUCAAAUCAGGCAAGACUACCCGCUGAACUUAA